GACGAACGCUGGCGGCGUGCUUAACACAUGCAAGUCGAACGCUGAAGCUUGGUGCUUGCACUGGGUGGAUGAGUGGCGAACGGGUGAGUAAUACGUGAGUAACCUGCCCUUGACUCUGGGAUAAGCCUGGGAAACUGGGUCUAAUACUGGAUACGACAUGCCACUGCAUGGUGGUGUGUGGAAAGGGGUUUACUGGUUUUGGAUGGGCUCACGGCCUAUCAGCUUGUUGGUGGGGUAAUGGCCUACCAAGGCGACGACGGGUAGCCGGCCUGAGAGGGUGACCGGCCACACUGGGACUGAGACACGGCCCAGACUCCUACGGGAGGCAGCAGUGGGGAAUAUUGCACAAUGGGCGGAAGCCUGAUGCAGCGACGCCGCGUGAGGGAUGACGGCCUUCGGGUUGUAAACCUCUUUCAGCACGGAAGAAGCGAGAGUGACGGUACGUGCAGAAGAAGCGCCGGCUAACUACGUG
rnacentral:rRNA from 1 species